UUCAGAAGCCCCUGAGUGCACGGUCCCCACCAUGGACUGGACCUGGAGAAUUCUCUUCCUUCUGGCAGUGGCUGCAGGUGUGAACUCCCAAGUGCAGCUGGUGCAGUCGGGGGCUGAGGUGGGAAAACCUGGGACAUCAGUGAAGAUCUCCUGCAAGGCGUCCGGAUACACCUUCACUGACAACUAUAUGCACUGGGUGCGGCAGGCACCAGGACAAGGGCUUGAGUGGAUGGGUUACAUAUAUCCUUACAAUGAUGGUACAAGCUACCCACCAAAGUUCCAGGGAAGACUCAAACUCACUGCAGACAAGUCCAAGAACACAGCCUACAUGGAACUGAGCAGGCUGAGCACUGAGGACACGGCCGUGUAUUACUGUGCUAUUUCCUUGGUCAAGGCUGUUGAGGAUAACUUGCGGACAGGACAUGCUAAAGAGCCUGUCUAA